AUGCUCUGGUUUCUCUUUAGAAUAAAUACAUCUUUUGCCUAUUGUUAAAGAUUUCUGUGGAGAGGAACAACCAUGAGUUUUGGUGAAUUUUUUUAUGCCUGGCUAAUGCCGGGCU